rnacentral:rRNA from 1 species
AUUGAACGCUGGCGGCAUGCCUUACACAUGCAAGUCGAACGGUAACAGGUCUUCGGAUGCUGACGAGUGGCGAACGGGUGAGUAAUACAUCGGAACGUGCCCGAUCGUGGGGGAUAACGAGGCGAAAGCUUUGCUAAUACCGCAUACGAUCUACGGAUGAAAGCGGGGGAGCUUCGGACCUCGCGCGGACGGAGCGGCCGAUGGCAGAUUAGGUAGUUGGUGGGAUAAAAGCUUACCAAGCCGACGAUCUGUAGCUGGUCUGAGAGGAUGAUCAGCCACACUGGGACUUCGACACGGCCCAGACGCCUACGGGAGGCAGCAGUGGGGAAUUUUGGACAAUGGGCGAAAGCCUGAUCCAGCCAUGCCGCGUGCAGGAUGAAGGCCUUCGGGUUGUAAACUGCUUUUGUACGGAACGAAAAGCCUCUUUCUAAUAAAGAGGGGUCAUGACGGUACCGUAAGAAUAAGCACCGGCUAACUACGUG